rnacentral:rRNA from 1 species
UGUAGUCAUAAUGCUUGUCUCAAAGAUUAAGCCAUGCAUGUCUAAGUAUAAGCAAUUAUACCGUGAAACUGCGAAUGGCUCAUUAAAUCAGUUAUCGUUUAUUUGAUAAUACCUUACUACUUGGAUAACCGUGGUAAUUCUAGAGCUAAUACAUGCUGAAAAUCCCGACUUCGGAAGGGAUGUGUUUAUUAGAUAAAAAACCAAUGCCCUUCGGGGCUUUUUGGUGAUUCAUGAUAACUUUACGGAUCGCAUAGCCUUGCGCUGGCGACGGUUCAUUCAAAUUUCUGCCCUAUCAACUUUCGAUGGUAAGGUAUUGGCUUACCAUGGUUUCAACGGGUAACGGGGAAUUAGGGUUCGAUUCCGGAGAGGGAGCCUGAGAAACGGCUACCACAUCCAAGGAAGGCAGCAGGCGCGCAAAUUACCCAAUCCCGACACGGGGAGGUAGUGACAAUAAAUACUGAUACAGGGCUCUUUUGGGUCUUGUAAUUGGAAUGAGUACAAUUUAAACCUCUUAACGAGGAACAAUUGGAGGGCAAGUCUGGUGCCAGCAGCCGCGGUAAUUCCAGCUCCAAUAGCGUAUAUUAAAGUUGUUGCAGUUAAAAAGCUCGUAGUUGAAACUUGGGUCUGGCUGGCGGGUCCGCCUCACCGCGUGCACUCGUCCGGCCGGGCCUUCCUUCUGAAGAACCUCAUGCCCUUUACUGGGCGUGUUGGGGAAUCAGGACUUUUACUUUGAAAAAAUUAGAGUGUUCAAAGCAGGCCUUUGCUCGAAUACGUUAGCAUGGAAUAAUAAAAUAGGGCGUGCGUUUCUAUUUUGUUGGUUUCUAGAGACGCCGCAAUGAUUAACAGGAACAGUCGGGGGCAUCAGUAUUCAGUUGUCAGAGGUGAAAUUCUUGGAUUUACUGAAGACUAACUACUGCGAAAGCAUUUGCCAAGGAUGUUUUCAUUAAUCAGUGAACGAAAGUUAGGGGAUCGAAGACGAUCAGAUACCGUCGUAGUCUUAACCGUAAACUAUGCCGACUAGGGAUCGGGCGAUGUUCUUUUUCUGACUCGCUCGGCACCUUACGAGAAAUCAAAGUUUUUGGGUUCUGGGGGGAUUAUGGUCGCAAGGCUGAAACUUAAAGAAAUUGACGGAAGGUCACCACCAGGCGUGGAGCCUGCGGCUUAAUUUGACUCAACACGGGGAAACUCACCAGGUCCAGAUGAAAUAAGGAUUGACAGAUUGAGAGCUCUUUCUUGAUUUUUCANGUGGUGGUGCAUGGNCCGUUCUU